rnacentral:rRNA from 1 species
AUUGAACGCUGGCGGCAGGCCUAACACAUGCAAGUCGAGCGAGCGGCGGACGGGUGAGUAAUGUAUGGGGAACUGCCUGAUAGAGGGGGAUAACUACUGGAAACGGUGGCUAAUACCGCAUACCAUCAGAUGAACCCAUAUGGGAUUAGCUAGUAGGUGGGGUAACGGCUCACCUAGGCGACGAUCCCUAGCUGGUCUGAGAGGAUGACCAGCCACACUGGGACUGAGACACGGCCCAGACUCCUACGGGAGGCAGCAGUGGGGAAUAUUGCACAAUGGGCGCAAGCCUGAUGCAGCCAUGCCGCGUGUAUGAAGAAGGCCUUAGGGUUGUAAAGUACUUUCAGCGGGGAGGCGUUACCCGCAGAAGAAGCACCGGCUAACUCCGUGCCAGCAGCCGCGGUAAUUC